CACAUGUGCUCCGUGUGUCCAGUUACCCUCUCGGUAAUCAGUCCCGGAAAACUUUUCUUCGACUCCCUGCCUGUGAGGGCCUCUGUCCUGGUGAGGGGGCGGGGGUCCUUAGGUCCUUAGUCCCUCCCCCCUGCGCUGCAGAAAGAAGCCCAGGUCUAAAGAAAUAGGGGAGAGAGGAGCGUAUUCUUUUUGGCGUGCCCUUUCCCUCCUAGGGCCGUUUUAUGUAGCCUUGUUUUUCUAUUCUGGCCCAAUGGCCAGGAAAAUUCUUUUUCUCCCUGAAGAAAUUCUGGAAGACAGCAGGGAGCUCGGUUCUGUUUCAAAAGCUGGUGGGAAAUAUCUCCUGAGGGCCCGUUAUGUGCCAGGCACGGACUGGACACUGGGGCUGCAGCGAUGGACACAGGCCCAGGUCCCUCCCUCGUGGUGGUGGCUUUGAGUGGGUGGGACGAGGGUCAGAGAGAGAAGCUGUGUUGCCCCAGGCUUGCUCUCUGAAGGUGAGUCCUCUUCCUCUGCGUCCUUGGUACGUGUGCCCAGCUGCCAGCUCCUCCAAGGGGCGUGAACAUCUGGGAAAACGGUCAUUUCCAGAGGCUUUCCUGACCUGGCUCCUUCACCCCUCUGAUGUCUCAUGCCCUGCAGACCCUGCCCUCUGCCUACCCGGGUGGAGGCUGUCCCCGAACAGCUGUCCAUGCCACAGCUCCGGGAGCUAGAGAAACCUCCAAGCUCUGUCCCAGGGUGUCCCUGUGACUCCCUGGAGAGGUCCCGGAGGCACCGGAUCUGCCUUCAUCUCCCUCUGGCUUGUGCUGGUUUGCAGCCCUGCCUUGCUUCUGCGGCUGGUGGUCCCUGGAUGGUGGUGCUCUCUCUCCACACCCUCAGCAUCCCUUCUCCUCCCAACUCAGCCCGCUCCGGGUUCUUCCAGGGCUCAGGCUGAAUUUUUGUCCUUCUCUGGAGGCACAGCUACAAGGGAAAGUUCCUUCAUGACAGGAGAAUCCGGCUGCCGUUCGGAAGGAAAGGGAAAGCAGAAAAUGGGGAGUG